rnacentral:misc_RNA from 1 species
CAACCUUAAAGCCCGGCUUUUUAUUGGAUUCUAGUUCUGCUUCGGCGGGACAGGUCCGAAAUGGAUUAACGACGUCGCGAUUACCACGGAAUCGAGCGAAUGGAAUCAUUAACGCUCUGGUUUGAAGUGGCCGGCGGUCUUUUGAAGCGGUCCUUCGGGAUCGUCUUUUUAAC